UUGAGCCGAAGUGGGACGCUCAACCAACUGAGCCACCCAGGCGCCCCUGUAUGAGGAAAAAAUUCCAGGCAUGUAGUAGGCCCUCAAUAUUACUUUAAUUUCUUUCUUUUCACCAUAAAUUGGAAAGAAUGUGUCUUUGUUGCUGUUAGCCAAAUGUGUAUAUGUGUAUGUGCCUGUGUGUGUGUGUGUACACAAAUCCUUUCUCUGUGGAUAUCAAGCGAUCUGUAAUAUUAUAAAAUUGAAUUCAUUUUGGCAACAUUCAAAUAAAAAUCAAGUGCUUCUAUGCCCUUUUCCCAUCAUAGGGAGGUUGACAUAAACUCAACAUUCAGUGCAAGCCUUCUGCUGGCCAGUCCUGUGCUACGUGAAAUGAUACAUAGAUCUACUGAAUAUGGAACCAGUCUUUUGCCCUCAGAAUCCUCAUCACAAUUCCUUAAACAUGUGGAGCGCUUCACAGAUAGCAGAUGCUUCUGCCUGGUGGAUUGCCUUACUCAGAUGUUUACACCCUCUUCCUCUCAGAUAAAAGUGGAGAGGACUGUAACAUUUUAAAAGUCCUUCCUGUUCCUGCACCUGAGUGGUUCUCAAAUGUUCAUGGGCAUAAUAAUGAGUUGGGGGCUUUUUGCAUGGGCAUAUUCCUAGCCUCACCCUUAGAAAUUCUCCGUGGGUAGGCACAGGUGCUGCCUAGGACUUUGCAUCUUUAACAGGCAUACAGUGUGAUCUUGAUUUAGGUGAGAUGCACUGAGUGCUAGGUUAGGAAUGGUGUCAGGGAAGCUGUUUUUCGCAGGAGUGAGCACAUUGUGACAUCCCGGGCAGGCAUGGCUAAUAGCCCAGAUCCUCACUGGAUCUCAGCAGUUGGACCUCAGAGUCCUGCAAGUAACAUGGGAACCAGGGAUCUUAUGCCAGAGGGAGCGUCCCUGGGGCCUGGAGACUCAAAGGGAAAUGGGUUGAAAUGAACAAGGUAGAGCUUCGGCACUGGUCCAAGAAACAGGAUAAGCUAAAGCUCAAAACUUUUUUGGAGACCGGAAUGACCUGUGGACUACCUAGAGAUGAGAUGGGCAGGUGAACUUCGUGGGGAAGGUGAUCUCAGCUACCAAGGUCUGAAACCAUCGGGAAGUUGGACUAUGAAAAUUUCAUGGUUUUCUAAUUCAAGUAAAAUAUUUAUUUGUUCAUUUCCUUUUUAACAUCCCUUUUAUUUGGUGUAGUUCCUCUUGAAAAUUUCAGCCCAGUUUGGGGGAACAGCUCUGGGUGAGGUAGGAAUUCUAUUAUGGCCACCAUUCAUUUCAUUGAGUCUCUUUGGGCCAGGCACUUUUGUGUAUUUCAAUUUUCUCUAAUUUUCAGAAGCACACGAUAAGGUAAGUGUGAAUAGUUUGUUUUUUGGGUGAGGGUCUGAAAUUUCAGAGAGGUUAAGCAAUUUGCCUAGGACCACGCAGCAAAGAAGAUGAAACUCACGCGCACAGGCUGUGCCCUUCUUACUGGAGUUUCUCUCGGUGCCUCCUCCCACUCGCACGUUGGAGGCCUUUAUCUUUUAGUGACCAGAAAAGACCUCCUAGGACCCAUCAAUCCAUUGCCUUCUGAGACACCUGGCAGAGAAAGUGAUUUCUGAAGCAGGAGAAAACCCAGGAAGAUUGCUCAGUUCCUGUGAGUGCUGCUUCCCAGCUGGGGAUGACAGUUAAUCUUGAAAAUCAAUUCAGUGCCUGCUCUCGCGUCAGACACUCCCCAGGGCAGGCCACAGCUCCUCUCACUGCUGUUAAACAGCACAAAAAGUGGUUGCCAGCAUGAGGAGGUCAGGGGCAACUGUGUGCUGGGCCUGAGGUUGUGCACAGAGCAGUUGCUGUGGGGCUAGUAGAUAGCACCUUCGGCCUCAGGGGCAGAUAGGAAAGGUGUGGACAAGAAGGGAUUCUGGCCUCUUCUGCCUGAGAAUGAGCAGAGUCAGCUCACAGGGGCAACCCAUGUCUCUCCAACAGCAUAGGCCUCAGCCCUUUGGCUUUGUGGCAGAGCUAUCCUUCUCUGAAUGCUUUCAGGACUGUGGCCCUGGGUCUUCCCAGACCUCUCCAAGAUUGGACAAGGCUGACCCAUGGGUGAUGACCCAGCAGGGACUCAGGGCCCCCUGUGUGUGGCUAGGAGGCUUCUGACAUCUCACAUUCAUGUCUUCUCUAGGCUGCAGUUAUGCCAAGACUAAUGGCCAAGACUAGUCCAUUGCUCCAAGACUAAUGGCCUAUGCCAGAUUAUGCUAGAAGCUUCUCCCAGAUUCUGGAAGGCAGCCAGGUAGUACUACUUUCCAAAAGAAUCAGUGCUCCUUCAUGAAGAGGUGAAAUGGGAAGCCAGUAGCAUCCCCCAAUGGGACAAGUUACCACAUUAAUUUUAGAGCUGUGGCAUUCAUCUUAAAGCAUUUCACCUGCAAGAUCACAGCUCUGGGAGAAACCGUUGUCCCCAUUUUACAGAAGAAGGUGAUAUUCAAAGACUUUAACAGGGAUUGAAAUGGUAGAAGGCAACUUCAAAUACAUAUCUUCUGACUACAGAUAUCUGCUUUUGAUGGUUACCCCCCUGCUACGUGAUUCUAUAUACAUCAGACUCAGUAUCUUCUCUUUGGUGGAUGUUGUCUUUGUGAGUUAGAGGUAAUUAUGAUAAUAGUAAUGUGCAUAUUGGGGGGCUGUGAGGAGUCGCACAGACAUAGACAUGAAAGUGCCUUGUAAAGAAACAGUGCAGUGCAAGGAAAUGAAUAUUGUUAUUCAAAUUCCUUCCACCUCAUCUUCUCUUCCCCUUCAAAUAUAUCCUCAGCAGUAACCUCCCACUUGCCUCUUCCUACCAGGUUUAUCACCUGAGUGAAUAGAAUGAGAACCACCAUCUGGGGCUGUGCAGUGGGGAUUGCUAUCAAUAGUUUGCAAACCAGUAAGCUGAGGUUUAGCGAAAUGUCUUUUUUGGGCUAAUAAACCCAGUGUUUGGUGGAACCUGCAUUCUCUCUGCCUCCUGCUGUGACCACACAGAAUCCCAGGACAGCAGGAAUGGAGCCUGGACUCUGGAACUCAGAGUUCAUCCCUGGGAGAGCCCUCACUCACCACUCUACCUCACCUCUCCGUUUUGGUGACCUCUGGGCCUCUCAUACCCUGAGGGUUCUAGAGGGAGAGCCACCUCAGGUAUGGUCAUGUCUUAUUUAUACACAUCACCAUCUCCCCAGUGACUCUAUGGCAGGGCGAAUGGAGAUAUUCUUACCAUGUGAGGCCCAGGAAUGGAGUUAUAUGAGGACUGUUUCCCUGAAUGGCACAGUGAGGCCCACCAAAAUGUCUUCACAUAUGGGUUGGGCAGCAGCGAUUGGUUGCUGGAGCCCUGGUGCCAUGCUUCUCAAAGUCCAUGGGGAGGAGGAUGGUUUCUCAAAGCCCUCAUCUGAGAAUCUCAGCCACCUUAGAGGGAAAAACCUCACAGGCCUUAACCUUUUAGGAAUCUGGAAUGAUGGAGAGAACUGGACACUGGACUUCAAGCUAGGGACUCUAGAUUUUAAGGUUGAGUGAAGUUUCUGGGGAGAAGCUGCACUUCUCCGAGCUACAGUUUUCUCAUCUGAAAAAUGGGUAUUUCUGAUUCAUUAAUUCGGAAAGUUUGUAAUAAGCAACGAGCAAGUGCAGUUCUAGGUAUGGGGGUACAAUGGUGAAUGAGAUAGAUGAGGUCUUGGAGGCUGAUAAUAACUCGGGGCCAAUACAACAGUGAAGGGGGCAGAUGGCUUAUAAAAAAUUAGACAAGAAGAAUGUUAUAUAGUGAUGAGCACUAUAAAGAGAAAUAACAGCACAAUGUGAUGACUUAGGGGCUACUUUAGAUUGGGGUGGGUUAGGGAUGACUUCUCUGAACAGGUGACAUUUGAAUGAGGUCACAAUGACAAGAAUGAACCAUCCAUGCCAAGAUCCGAAGCUGGGCAGUGAGAAAAUAGAAGGAAUGUUGCAGGCAGAAGGCACGGCCUGGGCACAGGCCCAGAAGUAGACACAUUUGGGUGGAGUCAGGCUGUUGGAGCCCAGUAUGGUGAGAGAAGCAAGUUUAGAGGAAAGUGGUAGAUGAGAAAGAAAGCCAGUAGGGGCCAGAUCUUCUUGGGUCUCACAGGCCCUGUAAAGGUGCCAUGUGAGGAUACAGCAAGAAAACCAGGAAGAGGGUUUUCACCAGGAUUGAAGUGGCCAGCCUUCAGAACUGAUCUGUCUUUUCAGGACCAGACUAACUUCUUUCGGAGUGCUUCUGUGAGUUUGCACAGCCGUGAAAACACCAAAAUGGCCUAUAAUGGGGAUUGGUUAAGUUCUCUCUCUGUAAAAGGCACGUAUGGAACUAUCUCAGGGACAGCAAGCACACGUCAUUUCCUCCAGUGGUGCACCGGAAUUGGCUUGGACCAGCUCACGAGAGCUGAUUAUUACGUUUUCAGGAAUUUUGUGAGCCAGGUCACAACUCACUGAUUGCUUGAAAUCAGCCACGGGAAUGUUUAAACCAUGUAAGCUGACAAAUGCCACAAGUCGGGACAUCACCUCCCACCCCCCAGCCCCAACUCUGUUAGUAAACAUUUAUCUGCA